AUACGUAGGUGGCAAGCGUUGUCCGGAAUUAUUGGGCGUAAAGCGCGCGCAGGUGGUUUCUUAAGUCUGAUGUGAAAGCCCACGGCUCAACCGUGGAGGGUCAUUGGAAACUGGGAGACUUGAGUGCAGAAGAGGAUGGUGGAAUUCCAAGUGUAGCGGUGAAAUGCGUAGAGAUUUGGAGGAACACCAGUGGCGAAGGCGACUAUCUGGUCUGUAACUGACACUGAGGCGCGAAAGCGUGGGGAGCAAACAGGAUUAGAUACCCUGGUAGUCCACGCCGUAAACGAUGAGUGCUAAGUGUUAGGGGGUUUCCGCCCCUUAGUGCUGCAGCUAACGCAUUAAGCACUCCGCCUGGGGAGUACGGUCGCAAGACUGAAACUCAAAUGAAUUGACGGGG
rnacentral:rRNA from 1 species